GGCCAAGAACUCUGCAGGAGUCAUGCCAGGUGGUCACGGCGAGAUGUGCUAAAGCCAAGAACAUGCUUCUCCGCAGGAGUCAUGCCAGGUAGUCACGGCGAGACGGGUACGGAUCCUAGCGAUGCCCCAAGAGAGCCCUAAUGCUGAGGUUGGGGUAAACAAGUAGCUGUCAAAAUUUUUACGAAGAAGGUAUGUUGAUUUUAAAUAAUUAGUUGUUUGGUUGUCAAGAAAACCGUGGGGUGUGUAAUCUUAUUUCGAUGUAUGAUUUCUCUUGGGGGUCCUAAAUGAUGAAAAAGAAAUUCAAGAUUCAAAUUCUUGGUUUCUCCCGUUUUUCCGCAGUUCCUAAGAACCCUUGUAGCCCACAUAGUACUAUGAUACUAAGGUGUUCUAUGUAUUUUAAUUUCAAAUUAUUGUGUGCUUGGUUGCUGAGAAAUCAAGGAAAAAUGCAAAAGAAUAUACAGAGAAUUUUGCAGGUUAAUGUCUUUUCUUGAUCCUUCUUGGGUCGUUGAUAAUGGUUUCACAUCAGAAACUAAAAACCAUUGAAACUGUUUUGAAUGGUUGCAGAGGUUCAACAGAGUGAUGGAGAGGAUGAAAGAGAUGAAACAGUGGUGGCAAGAAGUAGUGCUGGAAGUAGAGGAUGCUGGGCCUCUCUACAACAAUACAAAUGUAUGUCUUUAUUAUUAUUUGGUAGGCUUCGGAAUAGGGGCACUUUCAAGUAUAUCAUUGGGUAUACUCCACCCUCUCUAUGAUCCCAACCUUAGCAUAAGGGUUCUCUUGUGGUUCCGCUGGGGAUUCCGUACCCAUCUUGUCGUGGCAACAUGGAAUGACUCCUGUUUUUAGAGGAGAAGAAAAGCGACCGACAACGGAUCAGAAACGAAUCAGAAACGGAUCAAUGAAGUGGAGUCAGAGGUGACAACACACCAAUCCAACAUAUUUAUACUUUGCUUGUUUUUUCCAAGUUCUUUUCAAUAUUGCCCUCCAUGAGUUUUUUACUGUCAAAUAUUCCUUGAAUUUUCUAUAGUGUUUUUUUGCCCUUGCUUAUAC
rnacentral:lncRNA from 1 species